CCCCGGCUCGGCUCGGCACAGGAUCCGGCCGGCCUUUUCACUAAACUCGCUUCAUCCGCUCAGCCUCCAACCAACCGAGAGAAGCCAGAGAAAAGGUUACUCCGCAGAAAGCAAAACCCUAGCCCACUCCGGCGCGCCACCGGCCGAUGGUUUCGAUGAGCACCACGCCGAAGCCGCUUGACUCCGCCGUCGUCAGCGCAGCCGUUGACGGCGGGGAUGAGGGUGGUGGUGGAGGCGGUGGCGGGAAGAAGCAGGCGCACGGGGCGGUGAUGGCGCCGCCACCGAUGGUGGUCCCGGCCGCGGCGCCCGCGGCCGAGGAGGAGGUUCGGAAGGUCAGGAAGCCGUACACCAUCACCAAGUCGCGGGAGAGCUGGACGGAGCCGGAGCACGACAAGUUCCUCGAGGCCCUGCAGCUUUUUGAUCGUGAUUGGAAGAAAAUUGAAGCAUAUGUUGGCUCAAAGACUGUUAUACAGAUAAGGAGCCAUGCACAGAAGUACUUCCUGAAGGUUCAGAAGAAUGGUACGGGCGAGCAUCUGCCCCCACCCAGGCCAAAACGAAAGGCAGCUCAUCCAUAUCCACAGAAGGCAUCUAAAAAUGUUUCUCAAGCUAUUUUAUCACAAGAACAACCUACCCAGAGGGAGCAAGGUUCUGUCAUGCCUAUGGAUACUGCUACUGUGAGAAACACAAAUGCGAAUGUGGCGGUGCCUUCCUGGGACAAUACUCUUGCUCAACCUUUCAGCGCUGGUCAUGUUCAAGGUGCAGCUGCAACAAAUAACUGUUCAAGUAGCAUGGAGAGUCCAUCUGGUACUUGGCCAACUUCUGAAGCAGUCGAGCAAGAAAAUAUGGUUCCACCACUCCGUGCCAUGCCAGAUUUUGCCCAAGUAUACAACUUCCUGGGAAGCAUAUUUGAUCCGGAUACAAGUGGGCAUUUGCAGAGGUUAAAAGCGAUGGAUCCAGUUGAUAUUGAAACGGCACUACUACUUAUGAGGAAUCUUUCCAUGAACCUUAGGAGUCCCGACUUUGAGCAACAUGUUGUCUUUGGCGAUAUUGAUUAAAAUGUUAGUCACAGAAUCAUAGCAGGGUGGAGGAAGUAAGAAUCAUAGCAGGGUGGAGGAAGUAGCGCCAAUCAUCUAGCAUUCUAUGUGACCCAUGGAUACCACAAAAGCUAAAAGACAGACACAAUUAGACCUGCUAUGUUGUAUGGUGUUGAAUAUUGACCUACAAAAAGACGCCAUUUAGUAGAUAAGUGUUGCGAAAAUGUGUAUCUUGCAUUGGAUUUAUGGGUAUACAAUAAGAGAUUGAGCCCGGAACGAUAUAUAUGUGAUAAGCUAGGUGUGGCAUAAGUUGAACAAAAGUUUGUUUAACACCGAUUGAGAUGGUUUGGACAUAUCCAACGGAAACCUCCAUAGGCAGUGCAAUCCUAAUUCCUAAGGUGCGACAGUAAUAGGAGAAGAGGUAUGGAAGGCCGAAGUUGAUAUAGGAAGAGGUAGUAAAAGAAGACUUCAAAAAAUAAAAUAUUUCUAAAAAUUUAGCCUUGAAUAGGAACAAAUGGAAAAUAGCUAUCUAUUUGUCUGAAAAUAUUUUUAAAAUAUUCCAACUUGCUUGAGACUAAAAGUUGUUUUUAUGUAUGAUAGUUUGCAGUAGUACUUAUACAUAUACUGCUCUUUUCCAAAAUGCUGACUGAUUUACACUCUGAUUGCAGCGGAGGUUGCUAUCAUCAUAUAGCUAUGGUGGCGCGGACCAUGUCAAAUCUGAAGCCAUGGAAAAUCUUGGAUCUCCUCAGAGUGGCCAUCUUCCAUCCCUGGUAACAAGCGAAUGAGAGCACACUUCCAAUUUGCGGUCGGAGCUUUGGUUGUUUACACGGGACAUUCCUGUGCGCUCCCAGCAAUGGAGUUGUGGAGACGGCUGGUCUGUUUAUGAAUGCUAGAGACGUAUCGUGGCAGUAACAUCUGUAUAGCUUCCAAUAAAUGGUCUGACCCUAGGCAAGUUUUGCUUUUUCGCGUACGUGUAGAUAGCCAGUUUUGUGUGCUCAUGCAAUUUUUUCCUGGGUGGGGCCUAGAUCGUAUGUUUUUUUAUAUACACACUAUUGGACGCGUGAUGUAAAUAUGUGCAAUCUUUGUAAUGCUUGAGGUACUAUAAUUAUAUAAUGGAUAUGUUAUGAUCGAAAA